GGUUCUUCCCGAGCGGCCAAAGGGAGCAGACUGUAAAUCUGCCGUCAUCGACUUCGAAGGUUCGAAUCCUUCCCCCACCACCA
rnacentral:tRNA from 1 species